GACGAACGCUGGCGGCGUGCUUAACACAUGCAAGUCGAACGGAAAGGCCCUGCUUUUGUGGUGUUCUCGAGUGGCGAACGGGGGAGUAACACGUGAGUAACCUGCCCUUGACUUUGGGAUAACUUCAGGAAACUGGGGCUAAUACCGGAUAGGAGCUCCUGCUGCAUGGUGGGGGUUGGAAAGUUUCGGCUGUUGGGGAUGGACUCGCGGCUUAUCAGCUUGUUGGUGGGGGAGUGGCUUACCAAGGCUUUGACGGGUAGCCGGCCUGAGAGGGUGACCGGCCACAUUGGGACUGAGAUACGGCCCAGAGUCCUACGGGAGGCAGCAGUGGGGAAUAUUGCACAAUGGGAGGAAGCCUGAUGCAGCAACGCCGCGUGCGGGAUGACGGCCUUCGGGUUGUAAACCGCUUUAGCCUGUGACGAAGCGUGAGUGACGGUAAUGGGUAAAGAAGCACCGGCUAACUACGUG
rnacentral:rRNA from 1 species